rnacentral:rRNA from 1 species
AUUGAACGCUGGCGGCAUGCCUUACACAUGCAAGUCGAACGGUAACAGGUCUUCGGAUGCUGACGAGUGGCGAACGGGUGAGUAAUACAUCGGAACGUGCCUAGUAGUGGGGGAUAACUACUCGAAAGAGUGGCUAAUACCGCAUGAGACCUACGGAUGAAAGCAGGGGAUCGCAAAACCUUGGGCUACUAGAGCGGCCGAGGGCAGAUUAGGUAGUUGGUGGGAUAAAAGCUUACCAAGCCGACGAUCUGUAGCUGGUCUGAGAGGACGAUCAGCCACACUGGGACUGAGACACGGCCCAGACUCCUACGGGAGGCAGCAGUGGGGAAUUUUGGACAAUGGGCGAAAGCCUGAUCCAGCAAUGCCGCGUGCAGGAUGAAGGCCUUCGGGUUGUAAACUGCUUUUGUACGGAACGAAAAGCCCCGGGUUAAUACCCUGGGGUCAUGACGGUACCGUAAGAACAAGCACCGGCUAACUACGUGCCAGCAGCCGCAGUAA